GGCGGCCAUAGCGCGGUGGUCCCACCUGACCCCAUGCCGAACUCAGAAGUGAAACGCCGUAGCGCCGAUGGUAGUGUGGGGUCUCCCCAUGCGAGAGUAGGACACUGCCAGGC
rnacentral:rRNA from 1 species